UAUGUGAUCGUCUCUCGCAUAUCAAUAAGCGGAGGAAAAGAAACUAACAAGGAUUCCCCUAGUAACGGCGAGUGAAGCGGGAAGAGCUCAAAUUUGAGAUCUUAAAGGGUUUCCCUUUACGAAUUGUAGUUUAAAGAAGUGUUUUCUGUUGAGGUUUUGGUAAAAGUUCUUUGGAAUAGGACAUCAUAGAGGGUGAGAAUCCCGUAUUUGACCUUUACUUUCAACUUUGUGAUACACUUUCAAAGAGUCGGAUUGUUUGGGAAUGCAGUCCAAAAUGGGUGGUAAAUUUCAUCUAAAGCUAAAUAUUGGCGAGAGACCGAUAGCGAACAAGUACCGUGAGGGAAAGAUGAAAAGAACUUUGAAAAGAGAGUUAAACAGUACGUGAAAUUGUCAAAAGGGAAGCGUUUGACACCAGUGUUGUUUUUCUGAAAAUCAAUUAAAGAACUGUUUAUGCUAAGUUGCUUAGACUUUAUCAGCUAACUGUUUAGUUUUGAGCUUUUCUUUAAUGCACUUUUCAGUUAACAAGUCAACAUCAAUUUCUUUUGCUGUAAAAAAGCUUGAGGAAGGUGGCUUGAGAUUCGUCUUAAGUGUUUAUAGCCUCUUGCCUAUGCAGUCGGAGAGAUUGAGGUCUGCAGCGUAGAUCCUUCGGGGCUAAGUGCAUUUGUGCUAAGUUAUAGCAUUUUAUAGACAACUUGUUGACUAUGAUUUGUCUUGUAGCUUACUCGCUUAUGUUAUUUUACCUACGCUUAGGAUGUUGACACACGCGCGUGCUCG
rnacentral:rRNA from 1 species